CAAUAGAAUCAUUAAAAAGAUCCGACUGAAAAGAACGGUUCGUUCUGAUUAGGUUGGCAGCUCGUAGGUUUGAGACACUUCCAAGGUUACCAACACCGUUUAACAGUGCUAUAAAGACUUAUUAAAUCAGGAAGUGAAUGAGGAAAGCCCCUAGAAAGCAGCCACCUCCGUAUGCGAGGGUUAGGAAAUGCAAGGAGACUCCUCUAAGGUUGCUGGGAGUCAGACAGAAGGAUAUGAGAGAGCCUGAGCAGAGGAAAAAGGAGAGACGGGUUUCAUUAAAAAUAUAUGUGUUUUGAAGAUUAACCAAAGUCAUAUGGGUUUGGAACGACACAAGGGUGUCACGAAAGCCUCUGCCACUCCCAGUAAAAUGUACUGGGGCGUAAGCUGGAAACAGGUCAUAGAGGAAACCUGCAGGACCUUUCCCGAUAGUGUCUGCUCCACUUGUGGAUAAUCCUUCCUGUGGAUUUCUGAGAUCCCUGCCAGUAGUGCUGAGAGAGCUGCACAAGCAUGACCCAAAGCUGUAGGAAUAUAGCAAUAACGCAUGGAUUACUAUUGAAACGACUGGAUUUUGUCUGAGAAAAUUUGCCAAACAACGGGCUCCAGGAACCUGAUGUCAUUUGGAAGUACUUUGAUUUAAAGCCUCUGUUCGAGCCUGUGAAGGAGCGUUUUGUUCUUCUUCUGGUAUGUAGAGAGCUCCACGGUGCAGUGGACACAACUCCGGACCUGGGGAAAAUGAGUUUGGGAAAUGGGGCUCACACUUGUACACACCGGACUUGUUUUAUUCUGGUCCGCACAAUGACAGUUAAUCUUCAUAAAGUGUGAAUGGUAACCAUGGGUCUGCAAACUGACAAUGGCUCUCCGGGAUUUCCAAUGCUGAUGCUGCAUCAAUACUCAAAGCAUUGGUACUGGAUUAGCACCCAAGCAAUUUCCAAAUUAUUGUGGGAGACGGCAAUGGCGGUUUUAAGGAAAACGCGCGGUCUGUGGAGGCGGAAAGCUUAACGACUGCAUCCAAAACAUAUCAGGCAUUGUGGCCUUUGAAGAGUUUGGUACAACCCCCUAUGCAGAGCUUCCUAAUCAGCAACUUUCCCAGCAUUCAACCUCACUUUGGCUCAGUGACAAAACACUGUUGCCCUUCAUAUCGAACUUGCCAUUACGCAAGUUACUCCAUUAACAUUCGGACUGACUCUAGUUUUUGACAAUGUAGGUGCCAGGAGAGUAAAAGAGGCAGGUCAGUUUAGUGUAUCAUUGGUUGAUUUCGAUUUCUGAGUGAAAACUUUUUUCAAAGUAAAUCCUACACCAUUUUUUUUUUCAUUCAGUGUGGGUUUGGUGUGAAAUAAAUGCUUUAUAGAUAAGUCCUAUAUGCUUUAUAGAGAAGCUGUAGAGUUCUGAAUAUUAUAAAUAUAGCUAAUUUAUUAAUUUUAAUUUAUAAAAUUCUAAUAGAUCCCAAAAAAAGAUCUCAAACUUCUAAUCAAACAUAUUGUGAUGAACUCCACUAUCCAGGGCUGCAGUAUUGCACAGUAUUUUGUGUCAUUUUAUUGUUUCUUACAGUUUAAAAAUCAAAGUUAAAGAAGUAAUCCAUUAAAAUAUGAUGUUACUGUGGCCAAAGUUUGUUAAUUUACAACAAUCAUUUAGCAAAACUAAAAAAAAUCUGUUAAAUAUGGAAACCUAUUUCUGCCUCAGAGUAAAAAAAAAAAAAGGUAAUUGUGAGAUAUUGUAAAAUAUGAAAUAAAGUUUCUUUAAACUUUGAGAUGUAAAGUUACAAAUGUGAGAUAUAGUUGCAAUUGUGAUAAGUCCCAAAUUUGUGAUAUAAAGUAGUAAACGUGAGAUAUAAAGUUGCAAAUAUGAGAUAUAGUUGCAAUUGUGAUGAAGUCCCAAAUUUGAGAUAUAAAGUUGCAAAUGUGAGACAUAAAGUUGAAAAUAUGAGAUAUAUUUGCAGU